CAGAGGUGACCGUGCACCCUCGAUACAGAACGGCACAUAAAUGUAUUGUCUCGCUUGUAGAAGAAUGGAGUGCCACAUACAUGGAGCUAUAAACAUCUUUUCAGCCUUGACCACCGAAGAGACCUUCAUGCCUCUACACGUCCAUGCAUCACUGUUUUAAGUGACAAGAUAUGUUAAGUUCUUUCCACUUUGGAGGAUCCUACACACCUUGCACCUGGGUGCAGAGACCAUCCCUUCCUACAAGUAUUUUCAAGGUGCAAGAGAUGAGAACCAUUUGUGCCUUCAAGAACAGCAUCUCUUCACUGACCAUACAGCGUGCCCAGCCCUUGCUCCAGGUCCUUAGGACCACAGGGUGGAAAGGAAGGGCAAGGCCAAGGACAGCUGGAGUGGAGCAGAGCAGGAGAGUGACCAGAACAUUAGCAACACAUUUGUGGGAACAGAGGUUUUACAGCAGAGUAGUUUUGAACUCACUUGAUUUACAACAAAUCUGAAAUACCCAGCAUCUGCUCAGCAACAAGAUCAGCAGCCGUAUGUAAUUUGAAGCCAAGGCCUAAAAAAACCCCGCCCUUCUCCCCACAAACAGGUUUUACAAACUGUCCUUUUGUUUCCAGAAGUAGAGGGAUUUUACAAUGAUGAUGAUCACAACAGCAGGAAUGAGGAUUUAAGUAAGUGAAGAGUUUGGACAACUGAGAAUAUCAUUUGCAAUAAAAAAGCUUAUGAGCCACUUCUAAUGGCAUUUACAGAAUCUCAGCUCAGGGAUUCUUACACUCAUGUCAACUCACAGAUCCUACACUACA